rnacentral:rRNA from 1 species
UACGAAGGGGGCUAGCGUUGCUCGGAAUUACUGGGCGUAAAGGGCGCGUAGGCGGCACUGUUAGUCAGGCGUGAAAGUCCUGGGCUCAACCUGGGAACUGCGCUUGAUACGGCAGAGCUAGAGGAUGGAAGAGGGUCGCGGAAUUCCCAGUGUAGAGGUGAAAUUCGUAGAUAUUGGGAAGAACACCAGUGGCGAAGGCGGUUGCCUGGGGCUUUGCUGACGCUGAGGCGCGAAAGCGUGGGGAGCGAUCCGG